rnacentral:rRNA from 1 species
GAUGAACGCUGGCGGCGUGCCUAACACAUGCAAGUCGAGCGAUCCUCUUCGGAGAAGAGCGGCGGACGGGUGAGUAACGCGUGGGUAACCUGCCCUGUACACACGGAUAACAUACCGAAAGGUAUGCUAAUACGAGAUAAUAUACUUUUAUCGCAUGGUAGAAGUAUCAAAGCUUUUGCGCUACAGGAUGGACCCGCGUCUGAUUAGCUAGUUGGUAAGGUAACGGCUUACCAAGGCGACGAUCAGUAGCCGACCUGAGAGGGUGAUCGGCCACAUUGGAACUGGAACACGGGCCAAACACCCACGGGAGGCAGCAGUGGAGAAUAGUGAACAGUGGGCGAAAGCCUGAUGCAGCAACGCCGCGUGAGCGAUGAAGGCCUUCGGGUCGUAAAGCUCUGUCCUCAAGGAAGAUAAUGACGGUACUUGAGGAGGAAGCCCCGGCUAACUACGUGCCAGCCGCCGCAGUAA